ACAGUAAAAAAUAUCCAAACGCGUUUCGCCAGUAUAAGGCUUUAUCAAUGGAUAACAAAAAAAAAAAUGUUAUCUAAUGAUAAAGCCUUAUACUGGCGAAACGCGUUUGGAUAUUUUUUACUGUUU